UCCGUUGGUGAACCUGCGGAGGGAUCAUUGCUGGAACGCGCCCCAGGCGCACCCAGAAACCCUUUGUGAACUUAUACCUUACUGUUGCCUCGGCGCAUGCCGGCCCCCCUGGGGGCCCCUCCUUCUGGAGGAGCAGGCACGCCGGCGGCCAACCCAACUCUUGUUUUUACACUGAAACUCUGAGAAUAAAACAUAAAUGAAUCAAAACUUUCAACAACGGAUCUCUUGGUUCUGGCAUCGAUGAAGAACGCAGCGAAAUGCGAUAAGUAAUGUGAAUUGCAGAAUUCAGUGAAUCAUCGAAUCUUUGAACGCACAUUGCGCCCUCUGGUAUUCCGGAGGGCAUGCCUGUUCGAGCGUCAUUUCAACCCUCAAGCCUGGCUUGGUGAUGGGGCACUGCCUGUAAAAGGGCAGGCCCUGAAAUUCAGUGGCGAGCUCGCCAGGACCCCGAGCGCAGUAGUUAAACCCUCGCUCUGGAAGGCCCUGGCGGUGCCCUGCCGUUAAACCCCCAACUUCUGAAAAUUUGACCUCGGAUCAGGUAGGAAUACCCGCUGAACUUAAGCAUAUCAAUAACCCGGAGAAA
rnacentral:rRNA from 1 species